rnacentral:rRNA from 1 species
UACGUAGGGUCCGAGCGUUGUCCGGAAUUAUUGGGCGUAAAGGGCUCGUAGGCGGUCUGUUGCGUCGGGAGUGAAAACUUACAGCUUAACUGUGAGCGUGCUUCCGAUACGGGCAGACUUGAGGUAUUCAGGGGAGAACGGAAUUCCUGGUGUAGCGGUGAAAUGACGCAGAUAUCAGGAGGAACACCGGUGGCGAAAGCGACUUCCUGGACCAAUACUGACGCUCAUGUGCGAAAGCGUGGGGAGCAAACAGG